UACGUAGGUGGCAAGCGUUGUCCGGAUUUAUUGGGUUUAAAGGGUGCGUAGGCGGUUCCAUAAGUCAGUGGUGAAAUACAAUAGCUUAACUAUUGAGGUGCCAUUGAUACUGCGGAACUUGAGUACAGACGAGGUAGGCGGAAUUGACGGUGUAGCGGUGAAAUGCUUAGAUAUCGUCAAGAACACCGAUAGCGAAGGCAGCUUACUAGACUGUAACUGACGCUGAGGCACGAAAGUGUGGGGAUCAAACAGG
rnacentral:rRNA from 2 species